rnacentral:misc_RNA from 1 species
GCAAUUGAUAGAGUGAGAAUUAUGAAUUCUUCUAGUGAUCACAUUCAGAAAGUUCUCAGUUAAGGCAUUACAAAUUUCUUGCUUACAAUCCCAAAAACAAUUAGGUGCAAAUUGUUGAUUAUUUCACAUUAGUUACAGCUGAAAACAUAAUCAAAACCAAGAAAAAAAAAAUUAAAAAAAGUUUGUCAAUUGCAGAUAAAGCCUAGGCAACACCAUAUAAUUUGGUCUCCAUUACUAAACAGAAAUAGGCAACUUAAGUACAAUUUCAGCUUCAGCUCAUUUCGAUAUGCACUGUACAUCAAAAGUACUUUGUUGUCGUAUCCUGGUAGUAAAUACAUACACGACUCCAAAGAGCACCCUGACUGAAAAUAAUGAAUUUCUGCAACUCUGGGAAAUUAUGUACUCAUUUACUUGUUUGAUAAGCAAUAAACAUUAAAUUUUUGUCACAAAUGACCCAAAGAUGAUAGUGACAUAUGCCCUAAAUCUACUAUCAGCAAUAAAUAAUAUACAAAAACACAAAACUUAGAUCAGUAACCAAGUCUAAAAGCAAUACAAAAGUGAAAAAGUACGGCUUAUAAAUUGAGAAAAUAAAGGCAAAUAGAGACACAUACAUAUAUGACUUCAGAUUUCCCCCCUUUUCACUGGCAGAGCCUUGCAACUUAUACUCAGAACACAUUAAGAAUAAAUUUCAAACUUUUUUUUUGGGGUUCAUGGGAACCAACUUUCAAACAUAAGCACAAUGUCUGCCAGGCAAAGUCAGGACCAAGAAAAACAGGUGGUGACAAAAAAAUGAACCUUUGCCAAUUGUUGUGACUGGAUGAUGUUUAUGCACCUCCGGAAUACU